ACCAAAUAUGUGAUUUUUAUCGUUUGGUUUACCCACUGCUCAUGUGCAAAGCCAGAUUUUUCAUUGCUUUUAUAUUUUUAAGUUAUUGUUUUUAAAGCUAUAUGAUCCUCUGUGGAUCUCACAUACUCAGCACUUAACAUUUGAUUAAAUGUUCAGGUAACAAUUGUACUGAACUUGUGUGUCGAUGAUAGCGUCACCUAACAAACAGUUUAGAGCCUUAUGCUCUUAGAAAUGUUCUGAAGGAGACAUAAUCAUACUGUUUUCUCAAAUAAUGGGUUUUAGAAUAUUAUUUUAAUCAUCUCUUGGAUUUACAGUUAUAACUGUAUGUAAAGCACUUGAAGCAAAUGUAAUUUAAGAUAAAACCAAGAAGUCUGAAAGUUUCAUUUCCAGUCAAGUGACUUGGUUGUCAGUCAGCCUCCGCGUCCUCGGCUUCUGCAGAUCUUGACUCUCUGCGUUGUUUGAGGUACGUGGCUUUUGGAGAUCUCACAUGAAAAUUGUUAUUAAUUGCAUAAUUCAUUCCCAAUUUAUGUGUGUUGGGGAGAAUUUUUUUAAAGUGGCUGUUAAUUGUGUUGUAUAUCUAAUUUUGCAAAGCAGGUAUGUGAGACAUCUUGUAAUUUCUGAACUGUUUUGUUUGUGUGUUUUUCAAAGAUACCAUGAUCAUUCAUCAUGUUUUGGAGACUGUUUAAAAUUUGUUUUCCUAAAUUCAUGUAGAAAUGAUUUGAGGAUAUCAACAUUUUGUAUUAAACAUGUUUUCAAUUCAUUAAAUUGUAAUUUUUUUC
rnacentral:lncRNA from 1 species